AUUGAACGCUGGCGGCAUGCCUUACACAUGCAAGUCGAACGGUAGAGGGGGCAACCUCUCGAGAGUGGCGAACGGGUGAGUAAUGCAUCGGAACGUGCCCAGUAGUGGGGGAUAGCCCGGCGAAAGCCGGAUUAAUACCGCAUGAGACCUACGGGUGAAAGGGGGGGAUCGCAAGACCUCUCGCUAUUGGAGCGGCCGAUGUCAGAUUAGGUAGUUGGUGGGGUAAAGGCCUACCAAGCCGACGAUCUGUAGCUGGUCUGAGAGGACGACCAGCCACACUGGGACUGAGACACAGCCCAGACUCCUACGGGAGGCAGCAGUGGGGAAUUUUGGACAAUGGGCGAAAGCCUGAUCCAGCCAUGCCGCGUGCGGGAAGAAGGCCUUCGGGUUGUAAACCGCUUUUGUCAGGGAAGAAAUCCUUUGAGUUAAUACCUCGGGGGGAUGACGGUACCUGAAGAAUAAGCACCGGCUAACUACGUGCCAGCCGCCGCUGUAA
rnacentral:rRNA from 1 species